AGGAUCAUUACCGAGUUAGGGUGCCGUCACACCGCGCCCGACCUCCAACCCUUUGUCUACCUGACCUUAUGUUGCUUCGGCAGGCCCGCCUGUCCGGACUCUGCUCCGGGCGGCCGCCGGGGGCCCCACGGCCCCGGGCCCGCGCCUGUCGAUGGCCCUUACCAAACUAUUGUGAAAACCUGUCGUCUGAGUUAUCUAAACAAAUGAAAAUUAAAACUUUCAACAACGGAUCUCUUGGUUCUGGCAUCGAUGAAGAACGCAGCGAAAUGCGAUAAGUAAUGCGAAUUGCAGAAUCCGUGAGUCAUCGAAUCUUUGAACGCACAUUGCGCCCUCUGGUAUUCCGGAGGGCAUGCCUGUUCGAGCGUCAUUAUCACCCCUCAAGCCCGGCUUGUUGUUGGUUGCAGCGGCCGGGGGCCCUCCGGGUCCCCCCGCUCCUCUCAAAGAUAACGACGGCGUCUGUGAGGACUCCUGUACACUGAGCUUUCGGGCACGUACUAGGCUAGAAGUCGCAGACCCGGUCACCGUCCCCCCUUCCCGCUCCUCGCGGCGGUGGGGGACACCCCUUUUUACCAAGGUUGACCU
rnacentral:misc_RNA from 1 species